rnacentral:piRNA from 1 species
UGACCUAAUAAGCCCAGUAUUCCCGUG